GAUGAACGCUAGCGAUAGGCUUAACACAUGCAAGUCGAGGGGCGGCAUGGUCUUAGCUUGCUAAGACUGAUGGCGACCGGCGCACGGGUGCGUAACGCGUAUGCAACUUGCCUCACAGAGGGGGAUAACCCGUCGAAAGACGGACUAAUACCGCGUACACUCCAUCUUGGGCAUCCAAGGUAGAGGAAAUGAAAUUCGCUGUGAGAUAGGCAUGCGUCCCAUUAGCUAGUUGGUGAGGUAACGGCUCACCAAGGCGACGAUGGGUAGGGGAACUGAGAGGUUGAACCCCCACACUGGUACUGAGACACGGACCAGACUCCUACGGGAGGCAGCAGUGAGGAAUAUUGGUCAAUGGGCGAGAGCCUGAACCAGCCAAGUCGCGUGAAGGAUGACUGUCUUAUGGAUUGUAAACUUCUUUUAUACGGGAAUAACAAGAGUCACGUGUGACUCCCUGCAUGUACCGUAUGAAUAAGCAUCGGCUAACUCCGUG
rnacentral:rRNA from 1 species